CCUACGGGUGGCAGCAGUGAGGAAUAUUGGUCAAUGGGCUAAGGCCUGAACCAGCCAAGUCGCGUGAGGGAAGACGGUCCUAUGGAUUGUAAACCUCUUUUGUCGGGGAGCAACGAGGCCACGUGUGGCCGAAGUGAGAGUACCCGAAGAAAAAGCAUCGGCUAACUCCGUGCCAGCAGCCGCGGUAAUACGGAGGAUGCGAGCGUUAUCCGGAUUUAUUGGGUUUAAAGGGUGCGCAGGCGGCCUGUUAAGUCAGCGGUAAAAGCCCGGGGCUCAACCCCGGCGAGCCGUUGAAACUGGCGGGCUGGAGUUGGAGAGAAGUACGCGGAAUGCGCGGUGUAGCGGUGAAAUGCUUAGAUAUCGCGCAGAACCCCGAUUGCGAAGGCAGCGUACCGGCUCCACACUGACGCUGAGGCACGAAAGCGUGGGUAUCGAACAGGAUUAGAUACCCCAGUAGUC
rnacentral:rRNA from 1 species